UACCCCGCUGAAACUUAAGCAUAUCAAUAAGCGGAGGAAAAGAAACCAACAGGGAUUGCCCUAGUAACGGCGAGUGAAGCGGCAACAGCUCAAAUUUGAAAUCUGGCUCUUUCAGAGUCCGAGUUGUAAUUUGCAGAGGGCGCUUUGGCGUCGGCAGCGGUCCAAGUUCUUUGGAACAGGACGUCACAGAGGGUGAGAAUCCCGUACGUGGUCGCUAGCCUUCGCCGUGUAAAGCCCCUUCGACGAGUCGAGUUGUUUGGGAAUGCAGCUCUAAAUGGGAGGUAAAUUUCUUCUAAAGCUAAAUACUGGCCAGAGACCGAUAGCGCACAAGUAGAGUGAUCGAAAGAUGAAAAGCACUUUGGAAAGAGAGUCAAAUAGCACGUGAAAUUGUUGAAAGGGAAGCGCUUGCAGCCAGACUUACCUGUAGUUGCUUAUCUGGACUUUUGUCCAGUGCACUCUUCUACGGGUAGGCCAGCAUCAGUUUGGGCGGUUGGAUAAAGGUCUCUGUCACGUACCUCCCUUCGGGGUGGCCUUAUAGGGGAGACGUCAUGCAACCAGCCUGGACUGAGGUCCGCGCAUCUGCUAGGAUGCUGGCGUAAUGGCUGUAAGCGGCCCGUCUUGAAACACGGACCAAGGAGUCUAACAUCUAUGCGAGUGUUUGGGUGUCAAGCCCAGACGCGUAAUGAAAGUGAACGGAGGUGGGAACCCUUUGGGUGCACCAUCGACCGAUCCUGAUGUCUUCGGAUGGAUUUGAGUAAGAGCAUGGCUGUUGGGACCCGAAAGAUGGUGAACUAUGCUUGAAUAGGGUGAAGCCAGAGGAAACUCUGGUGGAGGCUCGCAGCGGUUCUGACGUGCAAAUCGAUCGUCAAAUUUGGGCAUAGGGGCGAAAGACUAAUCGAACUAUCUAGUAGCUGGUUCCUGCCGAAGUUUCCCUUCAGGAA
rnacentral:rRNA from 1 species